GGAAGAGCUGUAGCUUAGUGGUAGGGCAUCUGCUUUGCAUGCAGAAGGCCCCAGGUUCAAUCCCCAUAUCUCCA